rnacentral:rRNA from 1 species
AUUAGAGUUUGAUCCUGGCUCAGGAUGAACGCUGGCGGCGUGCCUAACACAUGCAAGUCGAACGAAGUAUUAUGAAGUUUUCGGACGGAUUAAUACUUAGUGGCGGACGGGUGAGUAACGCGUGGGUAACCUGCCUCAUACAGGGGGAAACAGUUGGAAACGGCUGCUAAAACCGCAUAAUAUGCGGACACCGCAUGGUGUCCACAUCAAAUAUUUAUAGGUAUGAGAUGGGCCCGCGUCUGAUUAGCUAGUUGGUAGGGUAACGGCCUACCAAGGCGACGAUCAGUAGCCGGCUUGAGAGAGUGACCGGCCACAUUGGGACUGAAACACGGCCCAAACUCCUACGGGAGGCAGCAGUGGGGAAUAUUGCACAAUGGGGGAAACCCUGAUGCAGCGACGCCGCGUGAGUGAAGAAGUAUUUCGGUAUGUAAAGCUCUAUCAGCAGGGAAGAAAAUGACGGUACCUGACUAAGAAGCCCCGGCUAACUACGUGCCAGCAGCCGCGGUAAUAAU